UUAUACUGGCUUGUGUCAACUAAAUCGUGCUCUAAGCGGUUCACGUAUGAUUCACUUUAGUUUAAAAUAUAUUUGUAAUUCGUGAACUAUUGAGAAAUCGCUAAAAUAAUUCAAUAACUUUGAAGUCACACGAGAAGUUGUCGGCUGAAAUGAAGUUGAUGUUUUUUAUAAUUAUCUGUAUAAUAAUAACAAGAGGAUCUUCAAAAGCAACACUCGCAGUGGGCGUUGACACGGAUGAAAGAAAAUUGAAGUUGAGAUAUGGCCUGUUACCUCGUGGCUUGUUCUCAUUAACCGAGAUGUUGGAGGAUGACAGAGUGCCAUCCUAUCGAAGAUGUUCCAUGGAGAAUAGAAAUGCAAAUGGCCGUCCAGGGGUCGUGGGUUUCGUAAUGGACACGAUAUUAGACAGCACCAUUUAAUAAAGGAUUUUUUUGUUUA